UUUCGACCUGAGCUCAUGUCAAGUCUGUCCGAGUCCCC
rnacentral:rRNA from 1 species